rnacentral:rRNA from 1 species
AUUGAACGCUGGCGGCAGGCCUAACACAUGCAAGUCGAACGAGUGGCGGACGGGUGAGUAAUGUCUGGGAAACUGCCUGAUGGAGGGGGAUCACUACUGGAAACGGUAGCUAAAACCGCAUACCAUCAGAUGUGCCCAGAUGGGAUUAGCUAGUUGGUGGGGUAACGCCUCACCAGUGCGACGAUCCCUAGCUGGUAUGGGAGGAUGACCAGCCACACUGGAACUGAGACACGGUCCAGCCUCCGUCGUGCGUCAUCAGGUGUGAAGAUUGGACAAUGGGCGCAAGCCUGAUGCAGCCAUGCCGCGUGUAUGAAGAAGGCCUUCGGGUUGGAAAGUACUUGCAGCGGGGAGGCGUUACCCGCAGAAGAAGCACCGGCUAACUCCGUGCCAGCAGCCGCGGUAAUUC